UACGGAGGGGGCUAGAGUUGUUCGGAAUUACUGGGCGUAAAGCGCACGUAGGCGGUCUUUUAAGGCAGAGGUGAAAGCCCGGGGCUCAACUCCGGAAUUGCCUUUGAAACUGGAAGACUUGAACACGGGAGAGGUGAGUGGAAUUCCGAGUGUAGAGGUGAAAUUCGUAGAUAUUCGGAGGAACACCAGUGGCGAAGGCGGCUCACUGGACCGUUGUUGACGAUGAGGUGCGAAAGCGUGGGGAGCAAACAGG
rnacentral:rRNA from 1 species